rnacentral:rRNA from 1 species
AUAUAACUAAGCGGAGGACAAGAAACUAACAAGGAUUCCCAUAGUAACGGCGAGUGAAGUGGGAAGAGCUCAAAUUGGUAAUCAGUGCUUGCACUGAGUUGUAAUCUACGGUAACCUGCUAGUCGAGGGCCUUCGUUAACUCUCCUCCGAACGGUGGAUCAGAGAGGGUGAUAAUCCCGUCGCGAAGGCUUGAGGCGUCCGGCAGCUAACCACAGAGUCGAGUUGCUUGAGAGUGCAGCUCUAAGUGGGUGGUAAAUUCCAUCUAAAGCUAAAUAUCAGCAAGAGACCGAUAGCGCACAAGUA